UCUAAACCACAUAGACCAAAAUGGCAGAUCUUUGAAUUUGAACAUAGAUACUAGGGUUUUGGGUUUUCCUCCAACGAGUCGUGACACAAAAAGUUCCCCAUUCCUCCUCCUCCUCCUCCAUGGUGCUUGUUCUUCAAUCGAGAUCGACAACACAUACAUUUUUCUUUCUAGGGUUUCCUCUUUUAUAUUGGAAUUGACUUUCAUCGUGUAGAUAGACAUUGGUGGUUGAGGGUUCUAGUGGACAUGAUUAAAGGCUGGCUGGCUGGUCAUUAAUCCAAGCAUUUUAGGACCUGCUCGGCAUAGUUUGGUUGGAGCAUAUUAUUAUUAUUAUUACUCUAUGGUUAGACAUUGGUGGUUGAGUAGUGGACAUGAUUAAAGGCUGCCUGGUCAAUCAGAUUUCAUUAAUCUAAGCAUUUUAGGGCCUGCUCACCAUAGUUUGGUUUGGUUUGGUUGGAGCAUAUUAUUAUUAUUACUCUAUGGUGAAUCAUGUAGCAGCCGUUGGAUCAAGAGUUGGUGUCUGCUAGGGAUGAGCAAAUUAGACCCGGUACCAGUACCGAACCGGUACCGAUGGACCGGGGACUUUUUCGGUACCGAUUCGGUACCGACUUUUGACAUUUUCGGUACCGGUUCGGUACUGGACGGUACCGAGCUCAUCCCUAUAGUGUCUGCUGCUGCCAUAUCACUAUUUUUGCUCUGAAAAACCACAAAGGAACAACAAUUUAACAAGCGAGAUAAGACAGGAGUGCGUUUGCGUGAUCUCGCAGUUCUUCGACUCUCCUUUCCAGAGCUCUAUUCCUCCUUGCAGCAUCAGACUGUCAACAUAAGUUUCCAAAAGACGAUACACUCUGUUUAUCAUAUUCAAUUGCCUCUCAGUCUUGGUUUAUCGUCAGUGAGCCUAGAUGGACAUAAUACCAUUGGUGGGUCGGGGUUCUAGUGGACAAAUCAGUCAACGGAUCUGCUCAAGAUAUCUUCUUGUUGAUCCAAAAGGCACCGACAUUCUAUUGCAGCAAGGAAGAUAAGAGCUCUGAGGAUUAGAGCUCUGGAAAGGAGAAUCAAAGAACUGCGAGAUAACGCGAACGCAUGCCUGUCUUAUCUCGCUCUUCUGCGGAGCGAUAAUAGUGAUACGGCAGCUAGAAACCGUGAGCUGAGAUCACGCUUGCAAGCCAUAGAGCCGCCGCCAGCAGCAGGCAAUGAGGACCCCACUAGUGGCUCAGCAGACAUGAAACCUUGAUGCAUCCGUGACUGAAUAGAUGCUGCUGCAUGAUGCCAUGAUUAGUCAUGGAAUGAUUUGUUUUGUUUAAAAUUUCUGUUUGGUGUUUUUUUAGGGGCUGUUUGGUAGCCUCUUAAUGACCAUUCAGAUGCUACCUCUUAAUGCUUUAAAACCUCUGAAUGAAUAAGAGGUAACCUCAAGUCUGAAUGGUUAAGAGGUAACCUCUGAAUGGUAAAUCAUCACAUGUCACAUUCUUCUACUUUCUCAUUGGUAAAAUUCUUAAUGGUUCCAUUAAGAGGUAGCCUCUUAAUGACCAUUCAGAGGCUACCAAACAACCCCUUAGUUUAGUGGUACUUUUUUGCAUGCUCCAAACUACGCUGGAUGUAACCUAUAUAGGUAUUGCAAUUAGAUCAUAACGUAAAGUAAAUUGAAUCUA